rnacentral:lncRNA from 1 species
GUCAGGCGAGCUAGGUAAAAUGUUUGACAUCCCCGUCCUCGAUCAACACUCUCCUACUGGGCCUUCUCCUCCUCCUAUACCCAAGCAACCCUCGCGCCAUUCCUCCUCUUCUCAACACAAUAGCGGAUCCGUCCGAUCCGGGCCCAACUCCGGACCAGUCAAGAAAUCCUCCGGUCCUAUGCCCCUCCAGCCCACCGGUCUCAUCACCUCCGGACCCCUUGGCUCCGGUCCAUUGGGCUCCGGUUCGCUUCCACCAUCCCACAGGAGAUCCGGCCAGCUCGACCAUACUGCCUCAGUAAUUGGAUCCGGCUCUAGCAAGGCGC